UACGGAGGGAGCUAGCGUUGUUCGGAAUUACUGGGCGUAAAGCGCGCGUAGGCGGCUUUGUAAGUUAGAGGUGAAAGCCCGGGGCUCAACCCCGGAACUGCCUUUAAAACUGCAUCGCUUGAAUCCGGGAGAGGUGAGUGGAAUCCCGAGUGUAGAGGUGAAAUUCGUAGAUAUUCGGAAGAACACCAGUGGCGAAGGCGGCUCACUGGACCGGUAUUGACGCUGAGGUGCGAAAGCGUGGGGAGCAAACAGG
rnacentral:rRNA from 1 species